rnacentral:lncRNA from 1 species
UUCGCGCUCCGUCCCGCCGCCGUCACCGCCGCUCGCCGCCCGUACAACACCCUGGGCAAGGAGGGCCGCCUCUACGACGACGACGGCUCCUCCUCCUCCUCCAGCGGCGAGAGCGGCAGCGAGUACGAGGACACCGACUCCGACGACCGCCGCCGCGCCCGCGACUUCUUCGUCCCCAGCUUCUCUCAGGGUAUGCCUCCUCGCCUGUCCUGUUCGUGUUAACAACUUAACAUCGUGGGGGCAAAUCGGGGUUCUGAUCAGCUUUUCUCGUUCUUGAUUCUCCAGACGUGCUGGACCAGUUCGGCGCGCACACGAGCCUGGGCCGCCUGCUUUCUGCGCUGGAGGACGCCGCCGCUCCGACCGGCCUCUGCUCCACUGCCGGGGCGUCGCGGCUCGGACGCUGGGUGGCGAAGGUGGACGACGACGCGGUGUACCUCAAGGUGCCGAUGCCGGGGCUGGGGAAGGAGCACGUGAAGGUGUGGGCCGAGCCGAACGGCCUGGUGAUCAAGGGCGAGGGCGACAAGGAGCCCUGGGACGGCGACGACGACUCUGCGGUGCCGAGGUACAGCCGCCGCAUCAAGGUGCCCGCCGACGCGUUCAAGAUGGACAAGAUCAAGGCCGAGAUGAAGAACGGCGUGCUCAGGGUGACCCUGCCCAGGCUGA